rnacentral:rRNA from 1 species
CCUACGGGAGGCAGCAGUGGGGGAUAUUGGACAAUGGGGGGAACCCUGAUCCAGCGACGCCGCGUGAGUGAAGAAGUAUUUCGGUAUGUAAAGCUCUGUCAGCAGGGAAGAAAGAAAUGACGGUACCUGACCAAGAAGCCCCGGCUAACUACGUGCCAGCAGCCGCGGUAAUACGUAGGGGGCAAGCGUUAUCCGGAAUUACUGGGUGUAAAGGGAGCGUAGACGGUUAAGUAAGUCUGGAGUGAAAGGCCGGGGCCCAACCCCGGGACUGCUCUGGAAACUAUUGAACUUGAGUGCAGGAGAGGCAGGCGGAAUUCCUGGUGUAGCGGUGAAAUGCGUAGAUAUCAGGAGGAACACCGGCGGCGAAGGCGGCCUGCUGGACUGAAACUGACGUUGAGGCUCGAAAGCGUGGGGAGCAAACAGGAUUAGAUACCCGAGUAGUC